GGCCGCCUGGCGAAAUGGCAUCGCGUCUGACUACGAUUUGUGAGAAUUUGAGCUUACGCAAUUGGAAUCAGGAGAUUGCAGGUUCGACCCCUGCGGUGGUCA